rnacentral:tRNA from 1 species
AUCUCUCUAGUACAAAUUAGUAUUGAUGACUUCCAAUCACCCGGACUUGGUUAAAAUCCAAGGAGAGAUA